rnacentral:rRNA from 1 species
CAAUAGCGUAUAUUAAUGUUGUUGCAGUUAAAAAGCUCGUAGUUGGAUUUCUGGUGGGAGUGGCCGGUCCGCCGUAAGGUGUGUACUUGGUUGUCUCCCGUCAUCCUUGUGGGAACUGCUCUGGCAUUAAGUUGUCGGGGUUAGGGAACACAUCGUUUACUGUGAAAAAUUAGAGUGUUCAAAGCAGGCUUAUGCCGUUGAAUAUAUUAGCAUGGAAUAAUAAGAUAGGACUUUGGUACUAUUUUGUUGGUUUGAGAACCAAGGUAAUGAUCAAUAGGGACAGUUGGGGGUAUUCGUAUUCAGUUGUCAGAGGUGAAAUUCUUAGAUUUCCGGAAGACGAACUACUGCGAAAGCAUUUACCAAGGAUGUUUUCAUUAAUCAAGAACGAAAGUAUGGGGAUCGAAGAUGAUUAGAUACCAU